UACGGAGGGUGCAAACGUUGCUCGGAAUCAUUGGGCGUAAAGCGCACGUAGGCGGCCUGUUAAGUCGGGUGUGAAAGCCCUGGGCUCAACCCAGGAAGUGCACUCGAAACUGGCGGGCUUGAAUAUGGAAGAGGGUCGCGGAAUUCCCGGUGUAGAGGUGAAAUGCGCAGAUAUCAGGAAGAACACCAAUGGCGAAGGCAGCUCUCUGGGACGGUACUGACGCUGAGACGCGAAAGCGUGGGGAGCGAACAGG
rnacentral:rRNA from 1 species